UACGUAGGUGGCAAGCGUUGUCCGGAUUUACUGGGCGUAAAGGAUGCGUAGGCGGACAUUUAAGUCAGAUGUGAAAUACCCGAGCUUAACUUGGGUGCUGCAUUUGAAACUGGGUGUCUAGAGUGCAGGAGAGGUAAGUGGAAUUCCUAGUGUAGCGGUGAAAUGCGUAGAGAUUAGGAAGAACACCAGUGGCGAAGGCGACUUACUGGACUGUAAACUGACGCUGAGGCAUGAAAGCGUGGGGAGCAAACAGG
rnacentral:rRNA from 1 species